UUAAAUUGAAGAGUUUGAUCAUGGCUCAGAUUGAACGCUGGCGGCAGGCCUAACACAUGCAAGUCGAACGGUAGCACAGAGAGCUUGCUCUCGG
rnacentral:rRNA from 126 species